GAUUAACGCUGGCGGCGUGCAUAACACAUGCAAGUCGAACGAUGAAACUUAAAAGAUUUCUUCGGAAUGAACUUAAGUGAAUUAGUGGCGAACGGGUGAGUAACGCGUGAGUAACCUGCCUUACACAAGGGGAUAGCCUCUGGAAACGGAGAAUAAUACCCUAUGAAACUAUCUUAUCGCAUGAAAAGAUAGUCAAAGUGUUUUAGCGGUGUAAGAUGGACUUGCGUCUGAUUAGCUAGUUGGUGAGAUAACAGCCCACCAAGGCAACGAUCAGUAGCCGGCUUGAGAGAGUGUACGGCCACAUUGGGACUGAGACACGGCCCAGACUCCUACGGGAGGCAGCAGUGGGGAAUUUUGCACAAUGGGGGCAACCCUGAUGCAGCGACGCCGCGUGAUUUAGAAGGCCUUCGGGUUGUAAAAUCUUUUGUAUAGGAAGAAAAUGACAGUACUAUACGAAUAAGGUCCGG
rnacentral:rRNA from 1 species